rnacentral:rRNA from 1 species
UCAGGACGAACGCUGGCGGCGUGCUUAACACAUGCAAGUCGAACGGUGACGAUCAAGCUUGCUUGGUCUGAUCAGUGGCGAACGGGUGAGUAACACGUGAGUAACCUGCCCCAGACUCUGGGAUAACCCCGGGAAACCGGAGCUAAUACCGGAUAUGACACGCCCCUGCAUGGGGAGUGUGUGGAAAGUUUUUCGGUCUGGGAUGGACUCGCGGCCUAUCAGCUUGUUGGUGAGGUAAUGGCUCACCAAGGCGACGACGGGUAGCCGGCCUGAGAGGGCGACCGGCCACACUGGGACUGAGACACGGCCCAGACUCCUACGGGAGGCAGCAGUGGGGAAUAUUGCACAAUGGGCGAAAGCCUGAUGCAGCGACGCCGCGUGAGGGAUGACGGCCUUCGGGUUGUAAACCUCUUUCAGCAGGGAAGAAGCGCAAGUGACGGUACCUGCAGA